CAGUAGCGUAUAUUAAAGUUGUUGCAGUUAAAAAGCUCGUAGUUGGAUUUCUGGUUUGAGUCGCCCGUCCCGUCGGCGUAAGUCGCACGUGUGACGAUGGUGUUACUCGGCCAUCUGCUCAUCUCAUUGCUUGUACCCUUAAUUGGGCCGCAGGUACAUGGUUGGGCCAUUUACUUUGAAAAAAUUAGAGUGUUUAAAGCAGGCAUUUGCUGUGAAUACAUUAGCAUGGAAUAAUAAUAUAGGACUUUUGUUCUACUUUGUUGGUUUCCUGAACGGAAGUAAUGAUUGAUAGGGAUAGUUGGGGGUGCUAGUAUUCCACGGCCAGAGGUGAAAUUCUUGGAUUCGUGGAAGACUAACUUAUGCGAAAGCAUUCACCAAGGAUAUCUUCUUUAA
rnacentral:rRNA from 1 species